UACGUAGGUGGCAAGCGUUAUCCGGAUUUACUGGGCGUAAAGGGAGCGUAGGCGGACUUUUAAGUGAGAUGUGAAAUACCCGGGCUCAACUUGGGUGCUGCAUUUCAAACUGGAAGUCUAGAGUGCAGGAGAGGAGAAUGGAAUUCCUAGUGUAGCGGUGAAAUGCGUAGAGAUAUGGAGGAACACCAGUGGCGAAGGCGGCUUCCUGGUCUGUAACUGACACUGAGGCGCGGAAGCGUGGGGAGCAAACAGGAUUAGAUACCCU
rnacentral:rRNA from 1 species